rnacentral:rRNA from 1 species
GACGAACGCUGGCGGCGUGCUUAACACAUGCAAGUCGAACGGAAAGGCCCUGCUUUUGUGGGGUGCUCGAGUGGCGAACGGGUGAGUAACACGUGAGUAACCUGCCCUUGACUUUGGGAUAACUUCAGGAAACUGGGGCUAAUACCGGAUAGGAGCUCCUGCUGCAUGGUGGGGGUUGGAAAGUUUCGGCGGUUGGGGAUGGACUCGCGGCUUAUCAGCUUGUUGGUGGGGUAGUGGCUUACCAAGGCUUUGACGGGUAGCCGGCCUGAGAGGGUGACCGGCCCCAUGGGACUGAGAUACGGCCCAGACUCCUACGGGAGGCAGCAGUGGGGAAUAUUGCACAAUGGGCGGAAGCCUGAUGCAGCAACGCCGCGUGCGGGAUGACGGCCUUCGGGUUGUAAACCGCUUUCGCCUGUGACGAAGCGUGAGUGACGGUAAUGGGUAAAGAAGCACCGGCUAACUACGUG